rnacentral:rRNA from 1 species
ACUAUAACGGUCCUAAGGUAGCGAAAUUCCUUGUCGGGUAAGUUCCGACCUGCACGAAUGGCGUAAUGAUGGCCAGGCUGUCUCCACCCGAGACUCAGUGAAAUUGAACUCGCUGUGAAGAUGCAGUGUACCCGCGGCAAGACGGAAAGACCCCGUGAACCUUUACUAUAGCUUGACACUGAACACUGGUCCUUGAUGUGUAGGAUAGGUGGGAGGCUUUGAAGCGUGGACGCCAGUCUGCGUGGAGCCGUCCUUGAAAUACCACCCUUUAAUGGCUGGUGUUCUAACGUAGACCCGUGAUCCGGGUUGCGGACAGUGUCUGGUGGGUAGUUUGACUGGGGCGGUCUCCUCCCAAAGAGUAACGGAGGAGCACGAAGGUUAGCUAAUCCUGGUCGGACAUCAGGAGGUUAGUGCAAUGGCAUAAGCUAGCUUGACUGCGAGAGUGACGGCUCGAGCAGGUGCGAAAGCAGGUCAUAGUGAUCCGGUGGUUCUGAAUGGAAGGGCCAUCGCUCAACGGAUAAAAGGUACUCCGGGGAUAACAGGCUGAUACCGCCCAAGAGUUCAUAUCGACGGCGGUGUUUGGCACCUCGAUGUCGGCUCAUCACAUCCUGGGGCUGAAGUAGGUCCCAAGGGUAUGGCUGUUCGCCAUUUAAAGUGGUACGCGAGCUGGGUUUAGAACGUCGUGAGACAGUUCGGUCCCUAUCUGCCGUGGGCGCUGGAGAAUUGAGGGGGGCUGCUCCUAGUACGAGAGGACCGGAGUGGACGCAUCACUGGUGUUCGGGUUGUCAUGCCAAUGGCACUGCCCGGUAGCUAAAUGCGGAAAAGAUAAGUGCUGAAAGCAUCUAAGCACGAAACUUGCCCCGAGAUGAGUUCUCCCUGACCCUUUAAGGGUCCUGAAGGAACGUUGAAGACGACGACGUUGAUAGGUCGGGUGUGUAAGCGCAGCGAUGCGUUGAGCUAACCGAUACUAAUGAACCGUGAGGCUUAACCUU